GUCAAUUUGGCCGAGUGGUUAUGGCGUGUGACUCAAGCGAUUCAUGCAAGAGCUUCUGUAGUAUUCCUACAGCGCAUUCUCAUAGGGUUUCCCUGCGUGGGUUCGAAUCCCACAGUUGACA